UGAGUACGAGCUGCUACGGCAGCGAAGUGGGUGAUGUCAAGCUUCCAAGAAAAGCCCUAUACCCGUUAAGGCAUGACGGCCUGUACCCGAAACCGACACAGGUGGGGUGGUAGAGAAUACCGAGGGGCGCGAGAUAACUCUCUCUAAGGAACUCGGCAAAAUGGCCCCGUAACUUCGGGAGAAGGGGUGCCACCGCAAGGUGGUCGCAGUGAAGAGGCCCAGGCGACUGUUUACCAAAAACACAGGUCUCCGCUAAGUCGCAAGACGAUGUAUGGGGGCUGACGCCUGCCCAGUGCCGGAAGGUUAAGGAAGCUGGUCAGCGCAAGCGAAGCUGGCGACUGAAGCCCCGGUGAACGGCGGCCGUAACUAUAACGGUCCUAAGGUAGCGAAAUUCCUUGUCGGGUAAGUUCCGACCCGCACGAAAGGCGUAACGAUCUGGGCGCUGUCUCGGAGAGAGGCUCGGCGAAAUAGAAUUGUCUGUGGAGAUGCGGACUACGUGCACCCGGACAGAAAGACCCUAUGAAGCUUUACUGUAGCUUGGUAUUGUGCCCGGGCUCUGAAUGCGCAGGAUAGGUGGGAGGCUUUGAUCCAUUGCUUGCGGGUGAUGGUGAGCCAACGGUGAGAUACCACUCUUUCAGAGCUAGGGUUCUAACGGUCACCCGUUAUCCGGGGACCGGACAGUAUCAGGUGGGCAGUUUGACUGGGGCGGUCGCCUCCUAAGAGGUAACGGAGGCGCGCAAAGGUUCCCUCAGGCUGGUUGGAAAUCAGCCGACGAGUGUAAAGGCAGAAGGGAGCUUGACUGUGAGACCUACAAGUCGAACAGGGACGAAAGUCGGCCUUAGUGAUCCGACGGUUCUGAGUGGAAGGGCCGUCGCUCAACGGAUAAAAGUUACUCUAGGAUAACAGGCUGAUCUCCCCCAAGAGUUCACAUCGACGGGGAGGUUUGGCACCUCGAUGUCGGCUCAUCGCAACCUGGGGCUGAAGUCGGUCCCAAGGGUUGGGCUGUUCGCCCAUUAAAGCGGUACGCGAGCUGGGUUCAGAACGUCGUGAGACAGUUCGGUCCAUAUCCGGUGCAUGCGCAGGAACAUUGAGAGGAUUUCUCCCUAGUACGAGAGGACCGGGAGGAACGCACCUCUGGUGUACCAGUUAUCGUGCCAACGGUAAACGCUGGGUAGCCAUGUGCGGAGCGGAUAACCGCUGAAAGCAUCUAAGUGGGAAGCCCACCUCAAGAUGAGUGUUCCCAUGGCAUAAGCCAGUAAGGUCACGGGAAGAACACCCGUUGAUAGGCUCUACGUGGAAGCGUGGCAACACGUGAAGCGGAGGAGUACUAAUAGACCGAGGGCUUGAU
rnacentral:rRNA from 1 species